GAUGAACGCUGGCGGCGUGCCUAAUACAUGCAAGUCGAGCGAACAGACGAGGUGCUUGCUCCUCUGACGUUAGCGGCGGACGGGUGAGUAACACGUGGAUAACCUACCUAUAAGACUGGGAUAACUUCGGGAAACCGGAGCUAAUACCGGAUAACAUGUUGAACCGCAUGGUUCAACAGUGAAAGACGGUUUUGCUGUCACUUAUAGAUGGAUCCGCGUCGCAUUAGCUAGUUGGUAAGGUAACGGCUUACCAAGGCAACGAUGCGUAGCCGACCUGAGAGGGUGAUCGGCCACACUGGAACUGAGACACGGUCCAGACUCCUACGGGAGGCAGCAGUAGGGAAUCUUCCGCAAUGGGCGAAAGCCUGACGGAGCAACGCCGCGUGAGUGAAGAAGGUCUUCGGAUCGUAAAACUCUGUUAUUAGGGAAGAACAAAUGUGUAAGUAACUAUGCACGUCUUGACGGUACCUAAUCAGAAAGCCACGGCUAACUACGUG
rnacentral:rRNA from 1 species